rnacentral:rRNA from 1 species
CGAUCCCUUCGGGGUGACGGUCUUGGCCUAGCACACGACCCUACGCUGGGGCGUUUAGCGUAUUAACAGGUGUGACGCAGGAAGGUAGCUGAGCCGGGCGAUGGUUGUCCCGGUCUAAGGAUGUAGGGCAGAAGAUAGGCAAAUCCGUCUUCUAUGUAGCCUGAGACCCGAUGGGUAGUCCUCACGGACGAAAUCAGUGAUCCUAUGCUGCCGAGAAAAGCAUCGACGCGAGGUUCCAAUCGCCCGUACCCCAAACCGACUCAGGUGGUCAGGUAGAGAAUACUAAGGAGAUCGAGAGAAUCGUGGUUAAGGAACUCGGCAAAAUGCCCCCGUAACUUCGGGAGAAGGGGGGCCUGAGGCGUGUAGGGAUUUACUCCUGAAGCGUUUGAAGGCCGCAGAGACCAGUGGGAAGCGACUGUUUACUAAAAACACAGGUCCGUGCUAAGUCGCAAGACGAUGUAUACGGACUGACGCCUGCCCGGUGCUGGAAGGUUAAGAGGAACGGUUAGCACGCAAGUGCGAAGCUGAGAAUUUAAGCCCCAGUAAACGGCGGUGGUAACUAUAACCAUCCUAAGGUAGCGAAAUUCCUUGUCGGGUAAGUUCCGACCUGCACGAAUGGCGUAACGACUUCCCAGCUGUCUCAACCGCGAACUCGGCGAAAUUGCACUACGAGUAAAGAUGCUCGUUACGCGCAGCAGGACGGAAAGACCCCGUGACCUUUACUACAGCUUGGUAUUGGUGUUCGGUGUGGCUUGUGUAGGAUAGGUGGGAGACUGUGAAGCUCGGACGCUAGUUCGGGUGGAGUCAUUGUUGAAAUACCACUCUGGUCACUCUGGAUAUCUAACUUCGAACCGUAAUCCGGUUCAGGGACAGUGCCUGGUGGGUAGUUUAACUGGGGCGGUUGCCUCCUAAAGAGUAACGGAGGCGCCCAAAGGUUCCCUCAACCUGGUUGGUAAUCAGGUGUCGAGUGUAAGUGCACAAGGGAGCUUGACUGUGAGACUGACAAGUCGAGCAGGGACGAAAGUCGGGACUAGUGAUCCGGCAGUGGCUUGUGGAAGCGCUGUCGCUCAACGGAUAAAAGGUACCUCGGGGAUAACAGGCUGAUCUUGCCCAAGAGUCCAUAUCGACGGCAUGGUUUGGCACCUCGAUGUCGGCUCGUCGCAUCCUGGGGCUGGAGUAGGUCCCAAGGGUUGGGCUGUUCGCCCAUUAAAGCGGUACGCGAGCUGGGUUUAGAACGUCGUGAGACAGUUCGGUCCCUAUCCGCUGCGCGCGUAGGAAAUUUGAGAAGAUCUAUCCCUAGUACGAGAGGACCGGGAUGGACGAACCUCUGGUGUGUCAGUUGUUCCGCCAGGAGCACCGCUGAUUAGCUACGUUCGGAACGGAUAACCGCUGAAAGCAUCUAAGCGGGAAGCCGGCUUCGAGAUGAGAUUUCCAUCCCUUUUAGGGUGAAGGCUCCCGGCUAGACUACCGGGUUGAUAGGCAGGAUGUGGAAGCGAGGACUAAAGACUCGUGGAGCUGACCUGUACUAAUAAGCCGAUAUCUUGAAAAC